AUGCCGCGUAUCGACCCCCGGGUCCUGAUU
rnacentral:sRNA from 1 species